rnacentral:rRNA from 1 species
GUGGGGAAUAUUGGACAAUGGGCGAAAGCCUGAUCCAGCCAUGCCGCGUGUGUGAAGAAGGUCUUCGGAUUGUAAAGCACUUUAAGUUGGGAGGAAGGGCAGUAAGUUAAUACCUUGCUGUUUUGACGUUACCGACAGAAUAAGCACCGGCUAACUUUGUGCCAGCAGCCGCGGUAAUACGAAGGGUGCAAGCGUUAAUCGGAAUUACUGGGCGUAAAGCGCGCGUAGGUGGUUUUGUAAGUUGGAGGUGAAAUCCCCGGGCUCAUCCUGGGAACUGCCUCCGAAACUGCAUGACUAGAGUACGGUAGAGGGUAGUGGAAUUUCCUGUGUAGCGGUGAAAUGCGUAGAGAUAGGAAGGAACACCAGUGGCGAAGGCGACUACCUGGACUGCUACUGACGCUGAGGUGCGAAAGCGUGGGGAGCAAACAGGAUUAGAAACCCUAGUAGUCC